UACGAAGGGGGCUAGCGUUGUUCGGAAUUACUGGGCGUAAAGCGCACGUAGGCGGAAUGUUAAGUCAGGGGUGAAAUCCCGGGGCUCAACCCCGGAACUGCCUUUGAUACUGGCAUUCUCGAGUCCGGAAGAGGUGAGUGGAAUUCCGAGUGUAGAGGUGAAAUUCGUAGAUAUUCGGAGGAACACCAGUGGCGAAGGCGGCUCACUGGUCCGGUACUGACGCUGAGGUGCGAAAGCGUGGGGAUCAAACAGG
rnacentral:rRNA from 1 species